ACUGCGUUAUGACGCGAAUUUCACCAUAGAAUUUCACCGGCAGAUCGCCGCGCGUUAAUCGCAUCCUUUCAACCGCGAUCCGCGCGAGGCGAGCUGGCAGCGACGUCGCGAGGAGAAGGGGAAGAAGGGUCGAGGUCUAAGGAAUAAUAAUUAUACAGAGCCUGGAAAAGUCACGAUGUCGGAAAAGCAUGGCUGAUAUACGCAAGAAUGUAAUUCGCGAAUGGAAAAAGCCGUGACGGAACGGCGAGGGAAAUGAGCAAACGGAUGUAAACAUCGAGCGAUGGACAGAGACGAAUGGGGCGCGUUGCGCGCGAAAUAAAUUGAAUUAACAUAUUAACGGACAACGAACACGAAAAAGCGCAGGGCGCCAUUCAAGGUACCGUCUUUCUCUCGCUGUUGUACAAAAUAAAUCAAAACAAUUAUGAGAUUAAAGGAAGGUCCCUGCAGGAUUUGAUAUACAGCCACGGAUUAAAAAAAUCAUGCAAGCGAAGAAAUUCGUUUUUGAAAAAAUUUCAUAUUGAAACGAAGGAAAAAUGUCAUUUGUCUGAAUCAUUUGUCAGACCCUUUUGAGUGAGUCAGCCCAUGUAAUUAGUGAAUUUCGUUUCGUUUGACUCGGGGCUACUUACUUCACAAAUAUACUCCAAAGAAUCCGAAUGAUAUAUUUAACGAAGUGUCGUAUAGGUACGCGGAGUUACGCGGUCAAUUGGAAUCUAAAUCGAGCGUAAUAAGCUGUCGUUCCAGGCAAUGCGAGCCGUGAUCUCGUGAGAAGAAGGAAGCUCUUAAUCGGCGUUCAUUAAUUUAAUCUCAAAUUAAAGACGAGAGAGUUUUAUUUAUAUACUUUGCCCCUCUCUCUAACUCCAAGAAUACAUUCGAAUAAUUGAUCGCGCAAAAAAGAAAAUUUAAUAAUCGAAUCGUUUGAUAGAUUCUUGGCGUAGUAAACAAAAUGAAAAAUGCAGAAAUCUCGCGAAUUAUUUGUAGAGUUUAUCGAAGGGAUUUAAUACAUUUGGGAGAAAUGGACGA